UUUUAUAAUAGAGAAAACACAGGGGGCAAAUUGAAAAGAGUCAGGGUGAUAUCGUUACAGACAAGGAUGUUAUCAUUUGUCGUUCAUGGUUGAAUGAUGUGAAACAUAUGUUACGCUGAUACAGACAGAGCCGCAGCAUCGGCAUUGCAAAUCUUGCUAUCACAUUUGCUAGGAGAUGCUGGCAGUCCUUAUAUUGUGGGUUUGACUCAGUACAGAAAUCGUGUGACUCAAUCAAUGGCUGCAGUUGCGUGUGUCAAGGAAGGGCUGAGAUUCUGGUAUGAAGACCAACUGGAAAUACUUCGUGGAUUUUGAGAUUACAAAAUCGGCUAAACUCGAUGAAACACAAACUUCACGACCAGCUGUUGGAGAGACAGAGAUGUAAGAAAGUUUAAUUCCAAAACAAUUCUUUGAUGAUUUAUCGGCCGAACUCAUUAAAGAAGGAGCCAGACAACACCUUGAAACUACAACAGAACUUCUUAGCAAGAGCGCAGACAGCGAUAAAUUGAUUGUAGAUCUUGUCAAAGAUCGUCUUGCAUCUCGUAGAGAGGAUGAGGAAACUAAUAUUGAAGAUACCCGGAAUAAUGUUGAAAUGAAAAUCGAACUCAAGGAACAAUGCAGAACAAAAGGUGCUGCUCACAUAACAGGGCGGAUCUUCACCCUCGUCAAUUUUAUUACAAGAUUCCGGUCAAAAGUUGAAUCUUGGUUCGUCGUUUGUUCAACGAACUCGAUAUUCGAGUCGUAGUCUGAGAGAUGGACCAAGCACUUUUAUACUUCUUGAUGUCGUACCAGAUUCCAAAGACAGUGUUUUAUACAAGGAAGAAACUGAAGGCAAGCGAAAUUACCCUUUCAAUAUGGUGAAAUUCAAAAUGGCGGUGCAACAGAGAUGACGCCAUGUGGAUCUCGUAGUUUUCACCUUUGUGAGCAAGCUGGUCGUGCUGUGUGUUCAAACAUGAAGAUGAAGCCGAUUUCGAGGGAAUCUUUCAACGUGCUAGCCAGUAAAGAUUUGUGUUGGAUAUGUUCCUGUUUCUUCAGAAGCCAAGGCUUCCUAGUGGCCACGUUGCAUUUUGAGGUAUAUACUUUGAUGAUUGGAAUUUACCCUCUUCGAUAGCCAAGCAGGUGAGAAAGAUCAUUGUUAAGUUUUAUCUGACUCCAGGAUGUAUUUGAUAUGUUAUGCUGGUAGGUGAUUUUAACUGAUAGAAUUAUGCAGUAUAAAUAUAGUUAGUUUGUGUAGGUUUCUUGCUGUAGUAAACACUGAAUCAAUAGGAGAUGAUCCAGUAUGCCAUUCCUGGCUUCAAAAUAUAUUGUUCUUUCUUAUUUUAAGUUAAAUAUGUAUUUCUGAAAUUAUAUAAAUUUAUUAU